GACGAACGCUGGCGGCGUGCUUAACACAUGCAAGUCGAACGGAAAGGCCCUGCUUUUGUGGGGUGCUCGAGUGGCGAACGGGUGAGUAACACGUGAGUAACCUGCCCUUGACUUUGGGAUAACUUCAGGAAACUGGGGCUAAUACCGGAUAGGAGCUCCUGCUGCAUGGUGGGGGUUGGAAAGUUUCGGCGGUUGGGGAUGGACUCGCGGCUUAUCAGCUUGUUGGUGGGGUAGUGGCUUACCAAGGCUUUGACGGGUAGCCGGCCUGAGAGGGUGACCGGCCAAAUUGGGAAUGAGAUACGGCCCAGACUCCUACGGGAGGCAGCAGUGGGGAAUAUUGCACAAUGGGCGGAAGCCUGAUGCAGCAACGCCGCGUGCGGGAUGACGGCCUUCGGGUUGUAAACCGCUUUCGCCUGUGACGAAGCGUGAGUGACGGUAAUGGGUAAAGGAGCAACGGCUAACUACGUG
rnacentral:rRNA from 1 species